rnacentral:lncRNA from 1 species
GACAGCCGCCACGGGGUCACCGCGAUCGUCCCAUUAAACCUCCACUCUGCAAACUACCUGCCGGCCUCUCCGCCCGCCUCUCGUCCUUUGCCUCCACCAGCUGCCCCAGGUCGGGGUCUGGAGCUGGGCACAGCCCUGUCCUCCCACACAGGCCCCUGGCCAGACGCGGAAGAUGCUGGACAGGGCUGAGGGCCCCUCCUAACCACCUCAGCUCUGCCCUCCGGGGCCCCCGGGGGUCUGAGCACCAGCUGCAGGCUGCCCUGCCCUCCCCCAGCCCCUCAAAUGCCAAGGCAAAGGAGGCCUCUUGUCACCAGCCUUGCCGUGGGCCUUUCUCAGCGACGUGUCCUGUCCCAAACGAGUAAGGGAAGGGCUGAUCCCGGAGGAUGGAGGUUGGGGGCACCGGGCAUCUGCUGGCACAGGUGCAGGAGAGGCUGCAGGUACAGGUGGGGCUCAGACGAGGGACGAGGCCAGGGACUCCCCUUGGGGCACCAGUGCGAAGGAGGGCUGAGCCGUGGGUGCUGGGGGUGAGCCUGACAGGGCAGCCGGCCUUUCCUGUGGGUCUGUGCGUUGGCACUGCAGGACGCCCACCACGACUGCGCGCUCUGGCCCCGGAGCAACACGUCGCCUAACCCCCUGAGCAGACAGAGCCCCACGCUACACCAGGGGCUAGGAUGUGGGCGGACCAGCCCCCAGGUCACCACAUAGCCGGCUACCUCUCUCUGCUGCCCUGGAGAUCCCAUCCCGGCCAGGAGAUGAGCCAGGCCCUGCCCAGUCGUGGUCCAGGAUUGAGGGGGGCGGGGGGGUCUCCACCAAUGAGCGAGGGCCUGUGUUGUGCCUGCACCGGGACCGGCUGGGGCUCCGUUCCACCCGGAGACUUAGGAGCUGACAGGCCAGUCACCCACCCUGCAGAAAACAGGAUUGGCCAAGCGGCAACAUCCCUGCCAAAGGAGAAUCACGGAGGUGCCCAGUGGCAGAGCCAGAGGCCUGCCAGGGACCCCGUCCUAGGAGUGGGUUCCCCAGCCCUGGGUUCCCCAUGGCCCUUGGCCCUGCCCCUGGAAAGGCCUAGCCUCUUCCUGGCCACACCUGAACAUGGCGCUGGCCAAGCCCUCCUGGCAGGCGGAACUGUUGCUCAGCCACCUCCCUGCCAAGGCCGCCUUGGUCCCAGGUCCCUGGUUUCUUUGGCGGCUCAACUCUCAGAACCCCGUGGUCCCCAGGGUCCCCGAUUCCAGAACCCCUGUGCCUGCGGGACACACAGCUCAGAUGUGCUUCGCUCCACGCUGCCUGCCUCGCCCGACAGUGUAAAGCUCAGAAGAGAGCCCAGCGCUGUGAGCGGGGUGCCACCCGACCCCGCUGCCUUGUCCUUGUCACUGUCCAAGCUGGUCCUGACCUGCCUGGGAGCCCCUGGGCCCCAGCCCACAAACCCGGGAGGUUUUCGUAGCCUCUCUCUUCCUCGUGGUGUCUUGCCAAACACAGCCUGUGACCAACACACGGCUGCCAGCAUUUCCCAACCUCUCCCGCCAGACCUGCCAGUUAUUUUUGGAUGCCGCUUGUCUCGUGAGUCACCACAGUUGAAAUCUGCCAGAUGUGUCACCACUGCGCACACAGCCCGCCACGCUGCAGCCUCGGGGCAUGGGCCCUCCCAGCCCCGGGCGGUCCUGGGUCCUGGGUCCCAUGUCCCGGCAAGGCCCCACACCUCUGCUGGGGCUGCCUGUGCUCCAGCAACAAGUGACCCCACGAGACGAACGUCUUCAACAGCAAAAGUUUAUUUCUCUGCCAUGCACGUGCCCGUCAGGCCAGGUGGGGCGGUGCGCUUCCCGUCACGGGUUCCUCAGGGGGCUGUGUUCCGCACCAGAUGGAGGCAGGCUGGGCAGGGCUCGCAGCAGCAAUCGGUUGUGCCGGGGUCACACGCCACAUCCACUCACAGCGCUCACACCUGCCCCAUGCACGGAGGUGGGGGUUUCAGCAAAGGACAGUAGGGACCCCCAUAAGGGCUGAGGGCACAACGCUGGGAGGCAGCUGCACUCUGGGGACAGAGAAGGGCACGGUCAGGCAGCAGAGUGGUCAAGGGGGUCGUGUCCAGAACGGGGACAGGUGGCUGUGAACAUCAGGCCAGCUGGGGCCACGGAAGGCGGGCCCGUGAGGCGGGGCCCUGGGGGAGCCUCUCUGGAGUCCAGGCGUCUGAGUCCCUCGGGCCGGGUCCUAUGUGGUCCAGACUCUCCCGUCCCCCACUCUUGCUGGGACUUACUGGGCCACAUGCCGCGGGUGGAACUUCAGAUCUAAAGACCAAGCCCGGGACAGCGCCCAGCAGGCGGGAGGGCCGCACGCACGCCAGCCCAAGCCGAGGCCCGGGAGCGGGGCCAGGGCCCCGAGGACCACAGCCACAGGCAGCCUGGCCGCCCAGCGGGGCUGAGAUAUAGCGUGAGACAGCCGCAGGCACUUGGGAGUUGACUGGCGGCCAGAGAGCUUGGGUUUUUUAAGGGGACGCUUUUAAAAUUUUGGAUUUCAUUAAGGAAACAGCACAGUCGCUGUGAAGACAAGACUCAGGGGCUGGAAAACCGACAAAGCCUGCUCCCAGUCAGCAAAGGGAAGGGGAUGGGGCGCAUGCAGGGGAGCAGGGGGCAGAGUUCACCCGAGACCUGGGGCCGUGGAGCUGCACAAAGAAGCUCAAAUCCACCAUCCACCCAGGCAUCCUCGCCCCCCACGGCUGCGACCCGGCCUCCCACUCUGAGCCUCUGCACGCGCCCGCCAGGCCUCCCUGGCCAGGCUGAGCCACCUGCAGCCGCCACCACCAAGGUGUGCUCCUAAAACGGCUGUCCUUUCCCGAAGAGGAAGCGGAGGUCAGCUGUUAAGGGUUUUUCUUCACUUUCUAAAUAGUUACCGGCCAGACCCUGGGAGGAAGAAGCCCAAGAGCAGAGGAAGGGCGCCUAGAGGCAGGGCCUGGCAGGGCCUGGCAGGGCAGGGGGCGGGCGCUAAGGA